GGCCAGACUCCUACGGGAGGCAGCAGUGGGGAAUAUUGCACAAUGGGGGAAACCCUGAUGCAGCGGCGCCGCGUGAAGGAUGAAGUAUUUCGGUAUGUAAACUUCUAUCAGCAGGGAAGAAAAUGACGGUACCUGACUAAGAAGCCCCGGCUAACUACGUGCCAGCAGCCGCGGUAAUACGUAGGGGGCAAGCGUUAUCCGGAUUUACUGGGUGUAAAGGGAGCGUAGACGGCAUGGCAAGUCUGAUGUGAAAACCCGGGGCUCAACCCCGGGACUGCAUUGGAAACUGUCAGGCUGGAGUGCAGGAGAGGUAAGUGGAAUUCCUAGUGUAGCGGUGAAAUGCGUAGAUAUUAGGAGGAACACCAGUGGCGAAGGCGGCUUACUGGACUGUAACUGACGUUGAGGCUCGAAAGCGUGGGGAGCAAACAGGAUUAGAUACCCGAGUA
rnacentral:rRNA from 1 species